CGGUCUCCCCACGACUCGGCCGCGUCGACGAGAGGAGCUUGCUCUUCUUGGAUGAGUUGCGAACGGGGUGAGUAAACGCGUAGGGUAACCUGCCUUGUAGCGGGGGAUAACUAUUGGAAACGAUAGCUAAUACCGCAUACAAUGGAUGACACAUGUCAGUUUAUUUGAAAGGGGCAAUUGCUCCACUACAAGAUGGACCUGCGUUGUAUUAGCUAGUAGGUGAGGUAAUGGCUCACCUAGGCGACGAUACAUAGCCGACCUGAGAGGGUGAUCGGCCACACUGGGACUGAGACACGGCCCAGACUCCUACGGGAGGCAGCAGUAGGGAAUCUUCGGCAAUGGGGGCAACCCUGACCGAGCAACGCCGCGUGAGUGAAGAAGGUUUUCGGAUCGUAAAGCUCUGUUGUAAGUCAAGAACGGGUGUGAGAGUGGAAAGUUCACACUGUGACGGUAGCUUACCAGAAAGGGACGGCUAACUACGUGCCAGCAGCCGCGGUAAUACGUAGGUCCCGAGCGUUGUCCGGAUUUAUUGGGCGUAAAGCGAG
rnacentral:rRNA from 1 species